UACAGAGGGUGCAAGCGUUGUUCGGAAUUAUUGGGCGUAAAGGGCGCGUAGGCGGCUGAACAAGUCAAAGGUGAAAUCCCUCGGCUCAACUGAGGAACUGCCUUUGAAACUGUUCGGCUUGAGGCCGGGAGGGGUAGCGGAAUUCCCAGUGUAGCGGUGAAAUGCGUAGAUAUUGGGAGGAACACCAGUGGCGAAGGCGGCUACCUGGACCGGUUCUGACGCUGAGGCGCGAAAGCGUGGUAG
rnacentral:rRNA from 1 species